rnacentral:tRNA from 1 species
GCAGGAGUAGCUCAGUAGUAGAGCUUCACGUUGCCAACGUGCAUGUCGCGGGGUUGCACCCUGCAAGGGUUCGAUCCCGGUUUCAUGCU